rnacentral:rRNA from 1 species
UACGUAGGGUGCAAGCGUUGUCCGGAAUUAUUGGGCGUAAAGAGCUCGUAGGCGAUUUGUUACGUCGGCUGUGAAAACCUGGGGCUCAACCCCGGGCCUGCAGCCGAUACGGGCAAACUAGAAUUCGGUAGGGGAGACUGGAAUUCCUGGUGUAGCGGUGAAAUGCGCAGAUAUCAGGAGGAACACCGGUGGCGAAGGCGGGUCUCUGGGCCGAUAUUGACGCUGAGGAGCGAAAGCGUGGGGAGCGAACAGG